GUUGCUUCAUACUGGUGAACUCUCUCUUGAUUGAUAGUGGGAGAUGUUCAAGUUUCCGGAGCAUAAAGUAAUUAGGAAAUUUUUAAUCUCCUUUGCCAGUAUUAAACAGCGCAAUGUGUGCUUUUCUGCUAUUGCAUUGUGCUACCUGUCUCCUGGUACAUCU